GGUUAAAAAGCUCGUAGUUGGAUUUCUGUUGAGAACGUCCGGUCCGCACUAUGUGCGUGUAUCUGGUUCGGUCUUGGCAUCCUCUUGAGGAACGUAUCUGCGCUUGAUUGCGUGGAGCGGUAUUCAAGACUUUUACUUUGAGGAAAUUAGAGUGUUCACGGCAGGCAAGCGCCUUGAAUACGUUAGCAUGGAAUAAUAAUAUAGGAUCUUGGUUCUAUUUUGUUGGUUUCUAGGGCUAAGGUAAUGAUUAAUAGGGAUAAUUGGGGGCAUUUGUAUUAACGCGUCAGAGGUGGAAUUCUUGGAUUGCGUUACGACGAACUACUGCGAAAGCAUUUGCCAAGGAUGUUUUCAUUGAUCAAGAACGAAAGUAUGGGGAUCGAAGAUGAUUAGAUACCGUCGUAGUCUAUACCAUAAACUAUGCCGACUAGGGAUUGGAGGUCGUUCUUUUUAUGACUCCUUCAGCACCUCAUGAGAGAUCAAAGUCUUUGGGUUCCGGGGGGAGUAUAGUCGCAAGGCUGAAACUUAAAGGAAUUGACGGAAGGGCACCACCAGGAGUGGAGCCUGCGGCUUAAUUUGACUCAACACGGGGAAACUCACCAGGUCCAGACAUAGUAAGGUUUGACAGAUUGAUAGCUCUUUCUUGAUUCUAUGGGUGGUGGUGC
rnacentral:rRNA from 1 species